rnacentral:rRNA from 1 species
AUUGAACGCUGGCGGAAUGCUUUACACAUGCAAGUCGAACGGCAGCACGGACUUCGGUCUGGUGGCGAGUGGCGAACGGGUGAGUAACAUAUCGGAACGUAUCCAAUAAUGGGGGAUAACUAAUCGAAAGGUUGGCUAAUACCGCAUACGCCCUGAGGGGGAAAGCUAGGGAUCUUCGGACCUGGCGUUAAUGGAGCGGCCGAUAUCUGAUUAGCUAGAUGGUGAGGUAACGGCUCACCAUGGCAAUGAUGUCUAGGGGUUCUGAGAGGAAGGCCCCCCACACUGGGACUGAGACACGGCCCAGACUCCUACGGGAGGCAGCAGUGGGGAAUAUUGGACAAUGGGCGCAAGCCUGAUCCAGCAAUGCCGCGUGCAGGAUGAAGGCCUUCGGGUUGUAAACUGCUUUUGUACGGAGCGAAACGGUCUGCCCUAAUACGGUGGGCUAAUGACGGUACCGUAAGAAUAAGCACCGGCUAACUACGUG